AGAGUUUGAUCAUGGCUCAGAUUGAACGCUGGCGGCAGGCCUAACACAUGCAAGUCGAACGGUAGCACAGAGGAGCUUGCUCCUUGGGUGACGAGUGGCGGACGGGUGAGUAAUGUCUGGGAAACUGCCCGAUGGAGGGGGAUAACUACUGGAAACGGUAGCUAAUACCGCAUAACGUCGCAAGACCAAAGUGGGGGACCUUCGGGCCUCAUGCCAUCAGAUGUGCCCAGAUGGGAUUAGCUAGUAGGUGGGGUAACGGCUCACCUAGGCGACGAUCCCUAGCUGGUCUGAGAGGAUGACCAGCCACACUGGAACUGAGACACGGUCCAGACUCCUACGGGAGGCAGCAGUGGGGAAUAUUGCACAAUGGGCGCAAGCCUGAUGCAGCCAUGCCGCGUGUAUGAAGAAGGCCUUCGGGUUGUAAAGUACUUUCAGCGGGGAGGAAGGCGUUGAGGUUAAUAACCUCAGCGAUUGACGUUACCCGCAGAAGAAGCACCGGCUAACUCCGUGCCAGCAGCCGCGGUAAUACGGAGGGUGCAAGCGUUAAUCGGAAUUACUGGGCGUAAAGCGCACGCAGGCGGUCUGUCAAGUCGGAUGUGAAAUCCCCGGGCUCAACCUGGGAACUGCAUUCGAAACUGGCAGGCUAGAGUCUUGUAGAGGGGGGUAGAAUUCCAGGUGUAGCGGUGAAAUGCGUAGAGAUCUGGAGGAAUACCGGUGGCGAAGGCGGCCCCCUGGACAAAGACUGACGCUCAGGUGCGAAAGCGUGGGGAGCAAACAGGAUUAGAUACCCUGGUAGUCCACGCCGUAAACGAUGUCGACUUGGAGGUUGUGCCCUUGAGGCGUGGCUUCCGGAGCUAACGCGUUAAGUCGACCGCCUGGGGAGUACGGCCGCAAGGUUAAAACUCAAAUGAAUUGACGGGGGCCCGCACAAGCGGUGGAGCAUGUGGUUUAAUUCGAUGCAACGCGAAGAACCUUACCUACUCUUGACAUCCACGGAAUUUGGCAGAGAUGCCUUAGUGCCUUCGGGAACCGUGAGACAGGUGCUGCAUGGCUGUCGUCAGCUCGUGUUGUGAAAUGUUGGGUUAAGUCCCGCAACGAGCGCAACCCUUAUCCUUUGUUGCCAGCGGUUAGGCCGGGAACUCAAAGGAGACUGCCAGUGAUAAACUGGAGGAAGGUGGGGAUGACGUCAAGUCAUCAUGGCCCUUACGAGUAGGGCUACACACGUGCUACAAUGGCAUAUACAAAGAGAAGCGACCUCGCGAGAGCAAGCGGACCUCAUAAAGUAUGUCGUAGUCCGGAUUGGAGUCUGCAACUCGACUCCAUGAAGUCGGAAUCGCUAGUAAUCGUAGAUCAGAAUGCUACGGUGAAUACGUUCCCGGGCCUUGUACACACCGCCCGUCACACCAUGGGAGUGGGUUGCAAAAGAAGUAGGUAGCUUAACCUUCGGGAGGGCGCUUACCACUUUGUGAUUCAUGACUGGGGUGAAGUCGUAACAAGGUAACCGUAGGGGAACCUGCGGUUG
rnacentral:rRNA from 1 species